UGAGUACAAGAUGCUACGGCAUUGAAGCAGUCUAUGUCAUACUUCCAAGAAAAGCUUGCAAUGUCAUAAACAAAUAAUGCCUGUACCAUAACCGACACAGGUGGGUAGGUAGAGUAUACUAAGGGGCGCGAGAUAACUCUCUCUAAGGAACUCGGCAAAAUGACUCCGUAACUUCGGGAGAAGGAGUACCUUAUUUUAUAAGGUUGCAAUAACAAGGUCCAAGCAACUGUUUACCAAAAACACAGGUCUCCGCUAAGUCGUAAGACGAUGUAUGGGGGCUGACGCCUGCCCAGUGCCAGAAGGUUAAAGAAGUUGGUUAGCAUUAGCGAAGCUGAUAACUGAAGCCCUGGUGAACGGCGGCCGUAACAAUAACGGUCCUAAGGUAGCGAAAUUCCUUGUCGGGUAAGUUCCGACCCGCACGAAAGGCGUAAUGAUUUGGAUACUGUCUCGGAGAGGGGCUCGGUGAAAUAGACUUGUCUGUGAAGAUGCGGACUACCUGCACCUGGACAGAAAGACCCUAUGAAGCUUUACUGUAACUUGAGAUUGAAAUUGGACUUUAUUUGCGCAGUAUAGGUGGGAGACCUCGAAAGUAUUCUUGCGGGAAUAUUGGAGUCAUCAGUGAGAUACCACUCUUAUAAUGUUAGAUUUCUAACUUUGUAUCAUUAUCUGGUCAAAGAACAGUUUCAGGCGGGCAGUUUGACUGGGGCGGUCGCCUCCCAAAUGGUAACGGAGGCGCACAAAGGUUUCCUCUGAACGUGUAGAAAUCGUAUCUAGAGUGUAAAGGCAUAAGGAAGCUUGACUGUGAGACCUACAAGUCGAGCAGGGACGAAAGUCGGUCUUAGUGAUCUGACGGUGCUGAGUGGAAAGGCCGUCACUCAACGGAUAAAAGUUACUCUAGGAUAACAGGCUGAUCUCCCCCAAGAGUUCACAUCGACGGGGAGGUUUGGCACCUCGAUGUCGGCUCAUCGCAUCCUGGGGCGGUAGUACGUCCCAAGGGUUGGGCUGUUCGCCCAUGAAAGCGGUACGCGAGCUGGGUUCAGAACGUCGUGAGACAGUUCGGUCCAUAUCCGGUGUAGGCGUUAGAAUAUUGAGAGGAGCCUUCUUUAGUACGAGAGGACCGAGAAGGACAUACCUCUGGUGUACCAGUUAUCGUGCCAACGGUAAACGCUGGGUAGCUAUGUAUGGAGAGGAUAACCGCUGAAAGCAUCUAAGUGGGAAGCCCACCUCAAGAUAAGUAUUCUC
rnacentral:rRNA from 1 species